UAAACUACAUAGCCUACCAACCCCUAGCAGCUUUCCUUGCCGAGGAUGGAAAAAACAAGAUCUGGUCAGUGAACGAACUCAGGCAAGGCACCAACAGCAUACUGCUUGACGAUGACGAUCAGUGUGUUGCCUGGCCAGCAUGACCCUUUCUUCAAUUCUGACCAGGCUCUCAGAUUGGAACGUGAGAGCUGCUAAUUCAUGGAAGGUGCGGAGAAGCCAUAAACUCCAAGAAAGCUAAUGGUUUGAUGCAGAACGGUAAGGCAAACCCCACAUGUUGAUGUUCUUUUGUUUUGUUUUUUGUUUUUUUUUAUAGGACCUGUUGAUGUUCUUGAAACUGAGGAACAAAUGCAAGCUGAAGAGAAGCAUGUGCAACUGUGCAUUCAUGAUCCAGUUGCAGGCCGGAUGCCUAUGACCAAGUGGCGCCGAAAUCAAUGAUACUACCUUGUUUGAUUCAAAAGAAACUGAACAAACGAUUCCUGACGAAAAGAAGGCUGGCAGAAGAACUAUAGAUUGUACGGUCCAAUCAAAGUGAUUCAACAUGUACGUGCGCUUUUGUUUAUGUUUUGACCAGCAAAUUUUCAGUUCAAUAUUGCUCCUUGUGAGCCGGCAAAGAAAAACACUACCAACCUUGUGCAUGUAUAUCCCUCUUUCUUUACUUUUUUUCUUUUUGAGAGGAAGACAGGAUGAACAUGUCUAUGGGUUUGAGUUCACUAGGACAAAGACAAACAUUAUAUUGUUGGUAA